ACUGUGUGCAAAAUACCGCUGUGCAACAGAAAUUUUAAAGGAGGCUGAUACAGCUCCUGGAUCAUGUUAUGGAGGCUAGGCCUCUUCCAAUAAAUAUUUACAUAAAUUCUGUGGGAGAUUCCUGCAUUCAUGAAGUUGUGUGCAUUUAUGUGUGUCGGGCAUGAGCACUUAACGGCAUUUGUUUCCAUGUUGGUGAAGCUACUAUAUGUUCAAUGAGACAAAUGUACUUUAGUCUUAUCUUACAUACUUGGUACCUAUUUCAGCUUCAGACUUCCAGAGUUUGCCUCAUACAAGGGGGGAUAAUUCAGUGUGAUUUUUAUUUUUAUUUUCCCCAGAUUUGCUAGGAGGCACAGGUCAUGCUGAUCUGACUGGGCAUGCUGUAUUUAUGUACCUGGAAGUCUGUAGGUCCCUGCUGGCCUCAACUUGUGCACAUGUGGUUUGCAUGCCCAGUCCAGCACUGUACAGCAAAAGCUAAGCUUACGUACCCUAACUUAUCCUGCAGUUUGGAGCAUCGGCUUUGGAGCAUCCUUCGUUGUGUGAUGAGGAUCUUCAUCCCAGGCCCCAACUAAUAUCACAAUUGCACUCUUUUUUAAACAGCUAUUGUAUUCUAUUGUAUUGACAGAAAAAGUACAAAGAUGCUGUUUGCAGUUCUAAGUUACCAGCUUUUUGUUUACAGUAUUGCUUUUGUCACAGAAAAAAAAAUACAAAUAUUUUUCUUUAUUGAGGGAUUACCAUCUUGUAAUGUUA
rnacentral:lncRNA from 1 species